CAGUUGACAGUUCAUGUCAGCACAAACCAAGCAUGAAGUCAAAGGAAUUGUCUGUAGACCUCCAAGACAGGAUUGUCUCGAGGCACAAAUCUGGGGAAGGUUACUGAAAAAUUUCUGCUGCUUUGAAGGUCCCACUGGCUGGCCAUCUAAACUGAGCGAUCAGGGGAGAAGGGCCUUAGUCAGGGAGGUGACCAAGAACCCGAUGGUCACUCUGUCAGAGCUCCAGAGGUCCUCUGUGGAGAGAGGAGAACCUUCCAGAAGGACAACCAUCUCUGCAGCAUUCCACCAAUCAGGCCCGUAUGGUAGAAUGGCCAGACGGAAGCCACUCCUUAGUAAAAGGCACGUGGCAGCCCACCUGGAGUUUGCCAAAAGGCA